rnacentral:lncRNA from 1 species
GGGGUUCCAAUGAGGGGUUUUAUAGUGGGGGACCAAAAGGGGUGUGAUGGAAAAUAAAUGAAGGAAAAAGAAAGAAAAAAAUUACCCGAAUCGGGUCACAUUGGUGCUGGCUGAAACCGGCCAUCACAAGGUCGACGCACCGCUGACAUGGGUCAAGUGCCGUCCACUUAAGGCCCACGGCUUGUUGCUGUCAGGCUCAAAGGUUGAUGCCGACCAUUUAAAAGCCAAGCCCGCAUCUCAAAGCCUGAUGCCGAUCAUUUAUGGACCAAGCCCGCGUCCCAUAGCCUGUCAAGUGUAAUCAAAUUCUUUAAAUAAUUUCUUUAUUUCUUUUUGAUGUCAGGCCUAUUGAUGGGGUUUUUAAUUUUUUUAUUUAAAUAUUUC